rnacentral:rRNA from 1 species
UACGGGGGGGGCAAGCGUUGUUCGGAAUCACUGGGCGUAAAGCGUACGUAGGCGGAUUGUUAAGUCAGGGGUGAAAUCCCGAGGCUCAACCUCGGAACUGCCUUUGAUACUGGCUGUCUUGAGUCCGGGAGAGGUGAGUGGAACUCCUAGUGUAGAGGUGAAAUUCGUAGAUAUUAGGAAGAACACCAGUGGCGAAGGCGGCUCACUGGCCCGGAACUGACGCUGAUGUACGAAAGCGUGGGGAGCAAACAGG